rnacentral:rRNA from 1 species
UAUUUCCUACGGGGGGCAGCAGUGGGGAAUAUUGCACAAUGGGGGAAACCCUGAUGCAGCAACGCCGCGUGAGUGAAGAAGUCAUUCGUGAUGUAAAGCUCUAUCAGCAGGGAAGAAAAUGACGGUACCUGAGUAAGAAGCCCCGGCUAACUACGUGCCAGCAGCCGCGGUCAUACGUAGGGGGCAAGCGUUAUCCGGAUUUACUGGGUGUAAAGGGAGCGUAAACGGCCAGACACGUCUGA